rnacentral:lncRNA from 1 species
UGUUGAAUAAUUUAGAAAAAAAUUAGGCCAAGUUACCUGCGGCCAACUUCGAGCCCAACCUCGGAGCCUACUUCCGGCGUCGUCGCCGGCAGAGUUGUCCGCGCUGCGUCUAGGCUGACGCCGCUGCGUGUCCAGGCUGAGCCGUCCCUCCGUGUCCAAGACAGAACGCUUCAGAUCUGUGGACGAGAAGAAGAGGAACGAGCUGUCAUCGCAAGUGACGAGCCGUUCACAGAUCUGAGCGCUCUGAUCCUCGCUAGUAACGACGGCAGCGGCUUGUUACUCACGCCGACGUCCGAGCGGUGGGCGUGGAGGUUGGAGCUCAGAUCUGUGGAGGAGAGGCCGUCCGUGGCUGACCACCGCUUUGCAUCUCUAGGUCUGUGGACUAGCAGCUCUAUCGGCCAAGGCACAGCCGCUGGGACGACCAGAUCUGGAUUCUGUUGCCGGCCGAAGUUGUGGGCGGAGCGAGAGAGUCGAAAACGCUACGGAUGCCCUAAUUUAAAGAUGUUAAGUAGAUGCUUCUUCACACGCUACGGAUCCUUUUCAUAUGCUAAAUAUCCUAAUUUAAAAAUAUUAAGUAGUGUUAAAACUUUUUUUUCGCUCACUUGAGUAUCACAAAUUUGAAAAAUUGAUCAUUUAAGUGUCAUUUUCAAUUUGCCUCGUCGAAAACGCUAAUGUGACUGCUGGAAAAUAUUUUAAAUAAUUUUUUUAAAUAUAUUUUUUGAAUUUUAUUUUUUUUUUUAUUUUGUCUUUUUUUUAUUUUUAUUUUUUAGGGUUUGCGAGAGUUACUAGUGAUCCUCACUGAUUGCAGUUGCCUUUGCCCUUGGCCAUGAAGGCCCUCGGCGAAGCCAUCACUUUGGGCGACAUGCAGCUUUAGGUAGUCGUGAGCCAUGUCACGAGGGUCGUUGCGGCCUCACCUAGAGCCUUCGCAGCAAGGGUGAGAUGGUCUUUGCCCAAAUCUGACUGCGAAGACCCUGGGCAAGGCCAUUAGGGCCUCUCUGACCGCUAGCGAGGCUGCAACAACCCUUACCUGCCCUAGGUGUUGUUGCCUGUGUUUGGCAAGGGCCCUUGUAGUGUCACCCAAGGCCUUCAUGGCAAAAGGCGAGGUGGCCAUAGCUAGCGAGGGUCGCCGGUUACCCUCAUCGGCCCUAAAGAAAAAAAAAACUAAAAAAAAAAAGCAAAAUACAAAUAAAACUAAAAAAUUUAAAAAAAAAUCCACGCAGGACAUUUGACUAGAAUUAACAUUCAAGUGAUCAUUUUUUCUCUGAUGUGGUACUUAAGUGAGUGAAAAAGAAGAAGAAGAUUUUGACACUCAAGUGAGCACCGUACGAAUGUUUUGGCACUACUGUUCUUUUGCCCUUAUUUUUGCAUUCUAGGACGAGAGAGGUUGUUGUCGCAUCUUUGCAGGAGGGGACUGGAUCUUUGAAUUUUCUGAAGGAAACCAUCAAUGAGGUGGGGGAUGGGGGACGAAGAUGGAGCGUGUAGUUUGCCUUGCAAAUUGCAAUGACUUUAUCUUGAAUGGACCUAGUUGUGAAAUUGAUUUGAUUGAGUGAGAUGGAAUAGGAUUAAGAUAGGAUGGUGUGCAUUUUCCAAUCGAAAUGUUAAGGAUAUUGAAUUUGACAUGUCAAAAACAAAAUUACUAAAAUAUGUGACUAAUCGUAAGUAGAUGAAUAGGGAAGUGGAUUAUGUUCAAAUUUAUCCAACUAGUUUGAGGUAUUAUUUUGUGAAUUGAUAACGAGCAUACAUAAUUUAGAAUUGAUAGCUUUGUAUUUCUAAAGUACCUAUAAAAUAAUGAAAAAACACUAUUGAAUACCAACCGAAUGAGUGAUAUGUAUCAUGUUAUGAUAUCUUCCAGAAUAUGAUAUAGUUAUUCUAACAUAUAGUAAUUGCUCAAGAUAGUAUUGUGACUAGAACAUACAUCUUGAAAGAGAACAAUAUUUGGCGCUUUGGACGGUAGACUAAAGAGAAAUUGAUUUCUAGAAGUGUUCCCAUCGAGUCAUUCAAUUUCAAAUUAAUAACCUAUCUUUGAUGAAAUCGAGAGGAGGGAUGAACUUCACUCAGCAAGUGAUAAUUUACCAAAAUACCACUCGACACAAACACACAAAAGAAAUAUCACUAUGUAAAUUCAAUGCUAACCUCUCCGUGAGUCGAAGUUGGCUAUUACACCAUGCCAUGGUUCUUAAAAUUGGCUAUUUUGGAGCCGGCAUGCUAUGCUCUACAGGUCGACAGCAUGGUCUAUCAUGAGUAUUUCGAGUGGGCACCAUGGAUAGUCAUGCUUUUCAAUUUGCAUCGGUAAUAUAGGGGGGAAAACAAGAAGAUGCAACAUGGGCGCUGACUGUUGAUAAAAAUGGGAACUUCUGCUCGUUGUACGUUGUGCAUUGGACCGAAGACCUAUUCAUGUGGACGGGCUAAUUGAAGUACCUGGGUUCUUAACUGGUAGUCCAACAAGAUUGGGCUUUCCCUAGUAAAGCAGCUCUUUAAGCCCAUGUAGCACAGAAGAUGCUUGGCUUCAAACAUGGACUUUCUUUCAGCUUGUCCCCCUUUACUUUCAAUAUAAGCAAUAAAAGAUCUCUAUCAUCCCCAAAAUAAAGGGAUAGAAAUGUCUGUAAUUAAAUGGUUUUACUUCCCAGACUUCAAUGAUCUCUGCUCAUAUAUUUUAGUUUCUCCUGGUGAGAUAAUCCCUGGAUCAAAUUUCUAUAAAAGUUUCUUUUUCUUUCUUUGGAUGAAAGAACAAGUUUACAUAAGUCGAUAGCAUAACAUAAUAUGAAGAUGAGUAACGCUGCAUAAAACCGUAAGUACUAUGAUGGACAGCCUGCUGAAAAACAUUGAAAAGCAUAAUCUCUAGCUUCUCCUGAAAGCUUCUUGAGCAAGAGGAGAGGAUCGAGACGAGUGAAGAAUGCAACCGUCUAAUUAUAGGCAAAAUUAAGAGUACACAAAUGCAUUUCUCAUGAAUUUCGUGGAUUUAUUUGGUCUAUUGCAGAAGUAGUUCGCCUUUAGGCAAAACCGAAUGCAAUCAGGUUCAAAACUACUUUUAGAUGGAGACCCAUGCGUUUCUCCAAAUUUAAUUUCUGUUUGAUGUUUCCUUUUUAUUUUACAUAUUUUCGUUCUUUUCUAGAUUUUCACUUUUUACUAUUUUGAAAACAAACUUUUAUAUUAUAUUUAUCACAUAAGAUGCCAUGUCAAUCUUAAUAGACACGUCUAUAUCUAUAUUUAAUGGAAGGACCAACUCGAAUAAAAGAAAUACUUCGGGGAUUUAAUUAUAUAGGAAAUGUUGAUAAAUCUGAUUGAACAUUUUGCAAUAAUUCAGUAACUUUCAAUACUUUAUUCCUUUUUUUUUUUUUUUUUUUGUGUGCAUAUGAUGGGGCUUGUCAAUUAACUCACACAAGGUCAAUAGCCCGUGCAUCGCAUGGAAUUGUCGACAACUAUUUUGGGCAUGACAUUUUUGAAAGCUUUGAAGCUCUAAUUACUACUUGUAAACACUACUCAUUGUUGCAAGGAAGACGUUUCGCAUUAAAACAUUUUUUACGCACUGAAAUGAUAGAAAAGCUACCCAUGAGAUCCUUAGUAACAGUGCAGUAGUAGCUACACAUUUUCUGUAUUCAUCCAGCUAACAAAUUAUGACAAGCAAAAUAUCAACAAGGAACCCGAUUCAAACUAGUCCUAAAAUUGCUCCUUUACAAUCUUGAGUUAGAACAACUCCUGUGGAUGUUUUCGUUCGUGAUCCUCUAACGAUGCUGCAACCUUGAAAUCAUAGUAACGUGCUUCUGCCUCGCAUUUGCAACAGAAAUUAUCCAAACAUAGUUUCAUAAGCACAUGUUGGUUUUGAGACUCACCAAAAGAAAAAUGGAAGAACAUUCGAGGAAACUUGAGCUUUGACAAUUUCGUCUUGAGUCUCCUCUUCUUGAAGUUGAAGCUCCAACCCUUCCUGAACUUGAAGCAGGUCCCCUUCCAGAACUCAAAGCCUUUUCAUUUCUUGAACUUGAAGCUGUGCCCAUUCCUGGACAAAAACCCAGUGCCAUCUUGUGAAGUUGAACCUCUACCGCUUUUUGAACUCAAACCCGUGCCCUUUCCUGGACGGAAAGUUGUGCCCUUUCCCGAACGUGAGCCUCUAUCUCAUCCUGAACUCAAAGUCCUGUUCCUUCCUGAAUCCACGUCCGUUCUGAAAGCCAUGCUCUUUCCUUAAUUUGAAGCCAUGCCUCUUCCUGAACUCAAGGCCAUUUCUGGAACUCAAACCUCUACCCCUUCCUGAACUUGUCGCCAUGCCCUCUCCUAGACUUGAAGCUAUGCCCUUUCCUCUGCUUUCAUUACCUAGACACUUCCCUGAGCUCGAAGAACCUCUAGCUCCACCUCCUCUGCCUCUAUUUGCAGUUACUUGGUCAGUCGCGACAAUCCUAUCCAUCUCCAUCUGGACCAUACUAAUCUUCCUGUAAGUAUAUAUAUGUUUGGAGUCUAUUUGCUGGUAACAGGUAUGGAGAACUUCAUUUCAUCCCUUCAUUCUCAAUCUGACGUGAUCUGCUUUGAAAGUUUAGAGAAGACGAUGACAAUAUUCGUAUCGAGAAAAUAGUCUUUUGCUGAUUUGAAAGCUUUUCUUUGAAGCAAGGAUGACAUUGUACUCCCCAAAUUAAUAUAAGGAGCUAAUUGCCCCCAAUGGAAAAUAUAGAGAUGGCGUUCAACGUUCAAUAAAAGUUCAGGACCUAAUCGCACCAAUUAAAAAUUCAAGAAUGUUGUCAGAUAUUGGAAAAGGUUCGAAGAUUAAUAGUGUCAUUGUAUCAAGAAAAAGAAACACACAAUCAAACCCACUAGACUACAACUCCGAUUGCUUUUGCUUAUUCUCUCCUGAGGUUGGAUUCUUGUUCCACCAUGGAGUUCCCUCUCCCUCAAGUGUGGCUCAUGAUUCAACGCACUUCUGGAAUUAGUUAACACUCGCCUUAUGUGUUUANNNNNNNNNNNNNNNNNNNNNNNNNNNNNNNNNNNNNNNNNNNNNNNNNNNNNNNNNNNNNNNNNNNNNNNNNNNNNNNNNNNNNNNNNNNNNNNNNNNNGAGAAUCUUCUCUAUCUAGUUCUUCAAAGAGAUAUGAAAGAAAUUGCCUGAAUCUUUGAUAAAUUCUCUGCGCAUUCUUGUAUGUUGACGUGUCACUAAUCUGGUAUAUUUGUGAGAGAUACGUUGAUCAACCUUUCCAAUGACUCGGCACCGUCUGGCUCCCAAGGAUUCCAGGAACUCUAGUUUUUCAAGGCCCCGGCACCAGUUAAUCCAUCAAACUCUUCAGGUUCUUCGAGUUUGACAGCCCAGCUGAUCUUCCAGGAGAUGUGCAGCCACGAGCACGGAUAUAUUCUAAUGAUUCCAAAGCACCCACAGCCACGAAUGAAUAAAGUCAGACGAAUUUCUCGAAUCUCAAGUUGGAGCGGAGUGACCCUGCGGAGCGAGAACAUAUUAAACGGAGAAGACUGGGAGCUCUACAAGGGGUCGGAGGUCUAGUUUAGGCAGAGUAAGCUUUUCCACAUGCGAAAGAGAACCCAAUACUGUAGGCGGUCCAGCAACGAUAAUUGGGUUUGAUGUCUAUGCGCAAUCAGAGUCCUGCACGACCCAUAUGAAAUAUAAUAAGAACUACGUCGUACGCCAAAAGUGAAUAUAUGAAUUUCGCUUAGGCGAGCGCAACGACAAUCUCCAGGAGAAAGGACUUGAAGACGUGCCACAAAGUGUUGUGAUAUCAUGAACAGCUUGAAGAGUAAAUUUGUCCUAGAAUUUGCACCAGAUAAACCCGCAAAAGAGAGAUGAAAAACAAAAAGAAGCGUGCCCAUAUAAAAACUGAAGUACGAGUUUAUACUCUAUUGAGUUUCCGUUCAUCGGCAUGAGAAUAUACGAGCAUACAUUCUUGACAUGUCUCUCGUUUUCAUCUAUACAUUUUCGAAGUGUGACUCAACUGACCUGAUUUUGACCCUUUUAAAUUUCUAGGUCACGAAGAAUGUACCAACAGUCGGAUAGUUUUCGAGAGAGAGCAAGAUGCGUACAAUUUUUAUAAUAACAAAUGCUGCAAAAGUCGGGCUCAUUGAGAUUAAUUCAUAUAGGGCUUGUUCUUUUACGAAGUUUUCUAUGCAAAGAAUGACAAAUUUCUCCCACUAGGUCAAGCCCACCGCAAAAGAGGUCACCACUUGUAAGUUCACAAUUUGGGGUCACUAACGAAAAAACUCAGGAGAUACGUGUUAGCGUCCCCUUUAUUGGAGACAGCAGAUUGGCCAAUGGGAAUCCGUGUCCCAUAACCACUAGUUAGUUUUAAGUCUCCUAAAGAAAAAUAUAGGAAAAUUCAAGGAAAAUAGAAUUUUACCUUGACACAAUGAGUCUCCCCCCAAAAGUAAGGUUCGUAACCUUGGCGCCGCCCCCAAAGAAUGAAGAACGUGGAUAUCUACCAGACACGUCAUAUUACCUUAGAACUUCCGCUUGCUUCAGUGCUUGUUCGUGCUGACCUUAUUGUUCUUGUCAUGACCUCAGUGUCUUAGACUCAGUCUCAGCCGAGCUUGGGCCCUUAUCCGUCCCUAAACUCGUGCCCAUUUUAGCCACGCCCCCUCCGAAACUCAAAGUCGUGCUCCUUCCUGAGCUCGCGGUUGCACCCUUUUCUGAGGUUGAAUCUGUGCCCCUUCCUGUACCCAAAGUUGCGCUGCUUCGUGGACUUGAAGAACCUCUGUCCAUCCCGGAUCUCGAACUCGUGCCCAUUUUCGUUGCGCCCCUUCCUAAACUCAAAGUCGUGUCCAUUCUUGAACUCGAAGUUGGGCCCUUUCCUAAUCUGCCCCUUUCUGUACUCAUAGUUGCGCUGUUUCGUGAACUUGAAGCUAUGCCCCUUCCUGAACUUGGACUGGCGCCCUUUUCAGUUGUGCCCCUUGAACAUGAACCUCUACCUCUUUGUAAACUCAAAGCCGUGACCCUUCCUGAGCUCAAAGUUGCGCCCUUUCUUGAAGAUGUAUAUCCGCCCCUUCCAGAACUCGAAGUCACGCUACUUCGGGAACUUGAAACUAUGCCCCUUCCUGAAUUUGAUGCCACGCCCUUUCCAAAAGUAGAAGCCGUGUCCCUACCCAGCCUUGAAGCUUUGCUCUUUCUUGAAGUUGAAGUCAUACCCCUUGCUUUGCCUCUUUCUGCUUGAUCCCUUCCUGGGCUUGAAGCACAUCUGGUCCCACUUCCUCCGCUUGUUUUUGCAAUUACUUGGUCAUUCUUCACAGUUCUAUCCCUCUUCACCUGGACCAUGUUGAAAUUCCGCGUAAGUUUUUAAGGACUGCACAAUUAAUAAAAUGCAAAUCUUCAGUACUUACAGAAGAAAAAUCUCUGUGAUCCUCGACUUCAGUUGUAGCUUUGUUGGAUAUCUCAUCAUGUUCAAUUCCUUGGCAGCUCGAUCGAACAACAUUGUUCCGGUUGGCUGGUUCUCCAAGCUCCUCCUUGUACUCCUUCCUAUUUUCCACGCUCGCCAUUUUCCCUCCAUCGACACUGCCAUAAUGCGAAAUCCUUCCAUCCCUCAUUUGCCUCCUAUUUCUCGUGGCCUCAACACAUUCAGCAUCGCCCAGCUUUGACUGAGAAUCAUAAAGUGAGAAGGUGCCAUCAGUUUCGCUUUCACCCAUAGAUGCAGUGUCUGAGUUUUCAUCAGGACCAGAAACGUCCCAGUCAGCCUCAUCCUCAUCGGAAUACUCAUCAGUCCUCAUUGUCCAUUCCUCUCUUAACAUCUCCACCACCCCCGUCAUCAUAUUCUCCCUCCCACUCACUGUCAACUCCUCCCUCGACGUACAGAUGAAUCGAUCCUCUUUUAGGUGCUAGUUGCACCAUUCCCUUCAUUUGCUCAUCACUCUUAAUCUCUAUGAGCAACUCGCAGUAUUCACCCGGAGUCUUGUACCACAUUCUCUUCGAACGAAAGCCAAAAUCUUUAAUGUCGGCAAUCAAUCCUUUAUAUGUCACCCAAUUAGAGGUGUAACCUUCGCUUUCCCACAUUAUUCCACCAACAAACUCAAAAUUAGACUUCUUUACUCCAAUGUGGAAUUUGAUUGUGAAGGGAUGUUCCAUCUGUGGUGUAACAAGUUCAAUGUGAGAGCCAAACAGCAUAUCUAUUAAAUACAUAUGGAAUCUUUUUGCAUAUUUACCCUAAGUCCAAUGCGGCACAAACAUCAUUCAUUAGUUAAAGACAUCCAGGAUUAAAUAUUUAAAUGUCUAAUGGAAUAUCAGUAAUACUCAUUUGAUCUUUCUUUCAUUAACUAAGUUUGAACUUUUAAAAAGAAUGUGAUGUAAAUUUUAAUUAAACAUCAAAUAAGUUAGAUAACUAUCUACAUGGGAGUACUAUCUCAUCACAGAUUACCUUUUUUAGGGAAAGAAAAGAAAAAAAAAAUGUUAGAAUGCCAAUGCAAGUAGAACUUUUCAGUGGCGGGUUUUUUACUCUUGAUUUGAGGAUUGAAACUACUCACUUUAUACUGAAUGGAAAUAUUAGUUAAUAUUUCAAUCAAUAAUUUGUUCCUCUAUAUUCCAUAUUAACUAGACGAUCCUUUGGAAACAAGAAAUGCAUGAUUUAACAGAGUAGAAAAGUAGACUUUGAUUUAGCUAUAAUAAAAUAAUCUAGAUGUAAAGGGUUGAAUCUACAAAUCCUAAACGUAAAUACAUAAUGUCGACAAGAUCACCGCCUCUCUCUCUCUCUGGAGUUCUCCAGAACUCUCUCUCUAUUCCUCGGGUCUUUUCUCUCUCUCUCUCUCUAGACAAUUCCAAGCCAAUUUCCCUGUCAGAAGAGCAGCCGCAAUUGUUGACAAAUGGGUCAACAAGUUGCAAUAAAAUAAUAAUAAGUAGAAGAGAUAUUGGGAGAGGAGAGUCGGUGAAUGUGCCGACUUUGCCUCCUAUAAAUAGGGUUUCUUGUCCCUUGAGUGUGCGUGGAAUGUGUACGUGAGGUGUGUGGGUGUGUGUAGGGGUCUUGUGUAGUGUAAGUGUAGGGUGAUAAGAAGUAAGUGGGUGUGUGCGUGUGGUUUGUGAAGUGAGUGAGUGAGCAAGUAUAAUGAGUAGCUGUGAGAGUGUGAUAGUAUAGAGAGUUUGUAAUAUUGUUUAUAUAAAAUAAAGUAAUUAUUUUACUUGUACAUCCACUUACUUCUCAACACAUAAAACAUAACUUUAGACAACACAAAAGGUCAAUAAGAAUCACGACUUACUUUCUUUAGAUUUUUUGGAGUUAGUGUUGACAAAUACUGGAAAACACCAUUACAAAUAUGGGCAUAUUCUUAAUGAACUCCUUGCGACAACUAUUCUUGGUGUCCUGCGAUUACCAUCAUUGAUUUUGUCAAAUCUCAUGACAAAGACAAAUGAUGCUCUUGUACAUCACUAGAUGCCUAACUCCUAAAUAAUCUGAAAUGCGAGAAUCUAAAUAUUCUGUGAAGGUAAACAAGUUUUCGACAUUUUGUUUAAAGAUAUGUAAUGACCUGUGAGAAAAAUCUAGAUGUCAAUAUGCAUAAAAACAAAGCCAAGACUUUGAGAGUUCCACAAAUUGUACAGACCGGAAAGUAUUUGGGCAUUCGGUCCCGAUUGGGGAGUUCAAAGAAAUAGAUGUUCACCUAGAUGCUAACUAGAGUUAGUAUGAAACUUGAAGGGGGGAGGAAAAGUAGAUGCCAAGAGCUAGGAGGAAAUGCUUAAAGAGGCACUACCAACCUAUUCCAUAUCCAGUUCCAUUUCUCUUCCUAUUUUUAUGCAAUUAUUUUAGUGAACUUUAAUUCUUCAUCUUUUUCUUUUUUACUCCAAUUACAUUAAUCCGAUCUUUAUGAAUAGUUUUAUAUCAUUUCUACUAUCUUUUAAUGGUAAUUAUAUAUUCCAAUUAAAUACUAAUAUAGAUCCUAUUAUCUUGUUUUUCAAAACUAAAAAAGAGUUUUAUUUUCUACUUUUCGAAUGAAAAAUGCAUUAUUGUGGGGUACAUUGUUUCAAAUCAGUUUAUGAAAGCCUGCAUGUUGCUGUAUUCUUUCUUUAGCUAAAGAUAUAUGCUUUUAAAUUCAUGAGUGUUUCUUUAAAAUGUACUUUUUAGUGAAAUAAUAUGUUUACUUGUAUUAAAGUUACAUUCUGACAUAACGUGUGACUAUCUGUUCAAGCAAUAUGUGCUUUCAUUUUAGUUUGAUAUAAUCAUGUACUUCGAAAGGGCGUGAAUCUCGCGUGGGGGGCAAUUUUCUGUAGUAAUAAAACGCAUAGUCAACUAGUCAAGCCACCGACCAAAAAAAAUAAAAAUAAAAACUAGUCAAGCCCACUGUAUAUGCCUGCCCAGGCAAACAACAAAUAUGCAACGCAAAUCAUUGCUUAAUAUGCAAGUGGAAAGAUUAGCACUGCAUUGAAUUGAUUAAACAGUCUAACAGAAUUAAUAAAGAAAGAGGAAAAUCAAAGAUUCUAAUUAAUUUUACUCAAGAGGCCAAAUUCAUAGGAGAUGGAUUUUUUUUUUUCAUAUCAAACAUAUAUAACAUGAAUAAUCUGCCUCUUGCUCAUCAUAAUUUCCACUUGGGGCGAUACGUGUGAUAAUAUAAUGAGUUGUUGCUUUUCUCUUAUGCAUCUAUGAUCAGGUCAUUGGCAGUUAACGUCUCCACAACUCAUUAACACAAUAAUCGAAUCAAAUUAUCCAUAAUUAGUAUUAAUAUAUGUAUAGUAUUAAAUUUGUGCACUAAUUAUGCCUAUUGCCAAAUAAAAAAAUUAGAAGACAAAGACAUCAUAUGAUGUUUCUGUAAUCUAAAAUUUGUAAUCUAUUAUCUAAUAUCUUAUCUAUGAAAGCAAUUUUUAUGAAUUAAUACCUAAAGAACCCAAGCUAUCCAAAAGGCAAGUAGAGAUAAGUGGCUAAACUAAGGAAAAGGAUCAGCCACCGAAGAAACGCUGUGCCACAAAAAACGACAACUUUAAAAGGGCAGAUUAAAAAAUGAACAUAUGGAAGGAACACUAAUGUAUUCCAAAUUAUUUAGAGAUCAUCUCUGAUAAAUUUUAGUCGUGGAUUAAUGAAUUUAUUUUCGUCCAUGCGAAUUUCAACAUAAUAUUUAACUUUUUACAAUUUGUGUUGUUUUACGGAAGUACGGCAUCAAACUGAAAUUAGAACGAGGUUUUCAAACCCACGCAUUAAUGAUUCAUGUACAUCUACUGUCUAGUGAUGAGGAAGAUGUCGCACCUUAUCUGACUUGGAUUCAAAGGUUGAUGUAUCCAGAAGAAUCUCCUCUCUGUAAUGCUUCAAAGAGAUUGCAGAUGGGUAGUGUUGAGCAAAAUCUUUGCUAAGGCCUCUACACUCCCUUAUUAGGACGCGGCAAUUAUCUGGUAUAUUUGUGCGAGAUAUAUCAAUCAACCUUCUCAAUGAUGUGCACCCUUCGACCUCCAAGUACUCCAAAGACUCUAGCUCGUUUAGGCCCUCAAUGAUAGUAAGUAGAUUGCACCACUGGAUUUCCAAAUUCGCCAGGUUCUUCAAGUAUGAUAACCCAUAUAUUUUUCUCAGAGAUUUGCACUCAAACACGAGGAAGGAUACCAAUGAUUUUGAAAGAUCCAUAAAUUGUAUCUCAACUAGCUCUGGACAUAAAAGCACCCACGCUUGUCGUAGCUUCCUUAAUUGCAAAGGAAUGAAUAAAAUCUGAAGCAGCUCACAACCCAUAACAGUUAAGUUCUCCAAUUGUGGAAGCCCAUCAAGUGGAAUGUAAUCCACUUCAACAUAACAGAGCUCUAAAGUUGACAAAUUUCUCAAUCUCAAGUAGGAAAGAGGUAAUUUUGCCCAUCUGAUGCUUAAGAAUUUUAAAUUCAAUGUUAGCGGAGAGGCUUGAAGCUGCCCAAGGGUUUCCAAGUCUAGGUGAGACAAAGUAAGCUUUUCCAGAUGAGAAAGAGAAGCCAAAUCUAGAGGAACGGGGACGUUUAACAGAUUUAGAUCUAACUUUUUCAAUCUAGAUAAUGUCCAAAUCCAACAUAAGUUACAUUCAGUGAUUAGGUUUGAUUUGCUUGUAUUACAAGAGCCAUCACUCAGUAGCAAUUUAACCAAAUUAGUAAGGUUUGACAAAUUAGGGACUAGGAGCAAUGAUUUAGAUCGAAGAAGUAGACAGGUCAACCUUGGGGGAAGCUCUGGCAAUCUUUGAAUUACAUGACAAUCUCGUAAGUUUAGUUUUCGGAGGUGAUGAAGCAUGCCAAUUGUCCUUGGAAUUCUGCAAAUACAAGUGUGCUCUAAAUUUAGGAUUCUUAAAGAUGACAACUUUCCAAUUCCAAUAGGAAUUUCACCUUUCAUUUCAUUACGCCUAGAGAGAUCCAACACUUCAAGAUUUUCCAACAUGUUGACGCCAUUAGGUAACUGCCAAACAUGAUGCUCUAGAGAAGAUGAUCCGUUCUUUGAGAAACGCAAUGUGCGUAAUAAUGUUAACUUUUCAAUAGACUUGGGAAGUUCCCUUAUGUUCGUAUUUGAUAGGUCUAACUCUAUCAAUGAGGUUAAAUUCCCAAGUGAGCUUGGAAGCUCUCUCAACUCAGAACAUCCCCGCAAUGUGCGUAAUGAUGUUAACUUUCCAAAAGAGUUGGGAAGUUCCCUUACCUUCGUAUCUGAUAGGUCUAACUCUAUCAAUGAGGUUAAAUUCCCAAGUGAGCUUGGAAGCUCUCUCAACCCAUAACAUCCCCGCAAUGAGAGGCACUUAAGCUUCGCUAGUGCCCCCACAUCUUUGGGCAAAUCUGUAAGGUCACCGCAAUUAUUAAUCUCUAACUCAAUCAAUGACUGUAGAUCUCCAAUGGAGCUUUCAAUUCUCUUUAGCCCAUAGCAGUAUGCAAGACUUAACCUCUCUAAACCCAAGUAUUUAGAGAAGUCCGGGAUAGUUGUUAUGUCACUGCAAUUAAUAAGAGAUAGAACUUUCAAAUUAUCUGCUCUCUGCAAAAAUGAAUGGCUUGUCAAGUGUAAGAACUAUUGCACAAUACAAAAUAGGACUAUUAGACUAGAAUUAAAACAUGUGAUUUACCUUGAUCAAGUCCCAUGCUUUCGUAUUAUCCAUGAAGACAGUCCAAUGAAGUUGAAAAACAACAAGAUGAUCCAAAUACAUAUUGUCUGCCUUGAAAUCCCCAAAAGGCUGCCAAGAAAUCCAUCUCAACUUUGAACAACACUUUGCAAAGUCCCCAACAAAAGUUCCAUUGUAUAACUUGAGGAAUCUUAGGUUUGGUAACUUCUCAAGCUCUUCAUUUGUGAUUUCUAUGAUGCUAGCCCAUUGAUUUAUCUCAAGCGCUUGAAUCUUGUCCUUUCUCUACAAGUGAAUUUUGUAAUGGUGUUAAGAAGUUUGGCAACUUACAACAUGUUUUACAAUUUGAAAGGACAAGGGAAAAAUGAUAUACUACUUCUAUUUGAAAAUCAUAUGCUUCUUUCUUACCUCUUCAGUUCUUAUUAUUUCAAGGGCCUCUUCAGCAAUCCACAGCCUGCUCCGCUUGCUAAGGUCACUUGGACUUUCUUGACGGACAAUUUGCCUUCCCAAGUCAAUAAGUUGAUUAUGCAUCCAGAAUUUAUCGUUGUCCAACAUCUUUAUCAAGCACCUACUGGUAAGGACAUCAAUUCCUCUUUCAGGAAAAAAUUGGCAAUCAGCCCACAUGUAAAUUGCUUUGGUCUUCUUCUCAUUGGAAAAGAAGCAUGCUAUAUCGAGAAAAAUUUGUUGCUGAUAUUCAUCUAGAUCAUCAUAACUAAUCCUCAACUUCUUUAGAAUCUCUUCCUCAGAUAUAUUCCUCAACUUGACCAAUGUCUCUUUCCAAAAUACUUUAUUUUUCUGAUUAAGUAAUGAACCUAUCACUUCUAUGGCCAAAGGAAGUCCUCCUGUACGAGAGACAAUUUCACUUGAAAGCCCCUGAUAAUCAUCCAAAGGAAAGUCUCUACAAAAGGCAUGCCGACAAAAAAGCUGAAGUGCAAUAGCAUCAUCCAUCUUAGGCAUCUCAUACCCUCUAAUCUUUUCUUUAAAUCCAUCAUAUUGCAGAAUAGUUGUGUUUCUUGUUGUAAUGAUUAUCCUAGAUCCUGAAUAUAGUGACUUACUUCCCAUAAGUUUCUUAAUGUGCUCUUUAUUAUCAACAUCAUCUAGAACCACAAGGACCUUUUUAGUGCUGAGUGUUUCUCCAAUCCUCCUCAUUCCUUGCUCACUAUCCUUGACUCCUUCUGCAAAUUCAGAAUUAACAAUGUCAGACAAUAAUUUUUUCUGCAAUUGGAGUAUGCCAUCCUUGGUCAACAUGCUUUCUCGAACAUCCUCAAGGAAACUACAACACUUUCCAAAGUGGGAAGACAGUUCAUUGAACACAACUUUGGCAAUAGUUGUUUUACCAAUACCACACAUCCCAUAAAUUCCAAGGAGCCGCACAUCACGAUGGUUGACAUUUAAUAACUCUGUCAAGCGCUUGACCCGAUCAUCAAGUCCCACUACAUGUUCAGUCACUGAUUUUUGUUUUAGCUCUAGUUUCUCCAAAACCUUUUUGACAACCAAUUUGAUAAUUGUUGCUUGGCUGCAGUGUGCAAAAGCACUUUUAUUAAUUGACUAGAUUAAUCGCAUACCCACGCAUCCCACAUUGGAUUGUCAAAAUUUAACUUGAAUAGAUUGAAGUACAUCACAAACGAGAUCUCGGUAUAAUGAAUAAUUAGAACAAACUAAUUUAGUAGAAUUCACUUGAUAUGUUUUUCAUAUGUAAUUAAAGAUAUGUCUGAAGACUAUAGUAUUGGCUUACAUGAUAGCCAAAGUUACCCAAGUGGCUACUAUCGGCCUGUAUGGUAACGUUUCUAUUUCUCCCGAUUUAUGUUCUUUUGUUCCCUGGAACAAAAAAGGAACAUAAAUCUAUUUGGUAACGCCAACUUAUUUUUCUAUUUCCCCGAAAUAGAAAAGUGGUUGGGGAAUAGAUUUGAAAAAGAAAUAAAAAACAAAAAAAAGUAGUUUUUUUGUUUUCGAGAAUAAUUUCUAGAUAUAAGUCCUUUUUUUUUUUUCUUUUGUUCUUUUUCCUUGUUGUGGCCACCACCAGCCGCCUACCAACCACCUUCGGCCGACCGCCGACAGGCGACCGUCGCCACCACCGUCGGCAACUGCCGCCACCUCCCGACCGCCAACUAUGGUCGUCGCCGCCCACAACCCACCAGCUACCUCCCACAGCCCAUCAGUCGACAACCACCACCGACCGCCGUCAGCGUCGCCCGACUACCGGUAGCUUGCCACAGUUGCCGCUCGUCGCCGCACGACCACCACCCACCACCGCAAGACCGCCGCCCACAGCCCACCUACCGUCGUUGGCAGAUGGGCGACUGUGGGAGGGGGCGACGGCAGGUGGGCUAUGGGCGGCGAUCCUGCGAUGGCGGUCGGCGGCGACGGUCGGCGGUCUUGCGGCAGCAGGUAGCGGUCAUGUGGCAACGAACGGCACUCAGCGGUAUGUGAGCAAGGAAAAAAAACUAAUAAAUACAAAAAAUUAUAAAUUAUACCAAACACAUUUAUAUUCCUUUUUUAUUCCAAGCAUAUAAAUUUUGUAUAGUUACCAAACACCUUAUUUUACUUAGAAAUUAUUCCCCAGAAUAGAAACGUUGCCAUACACACCCUAUAUCAUGUAUAACAAAAUUUCGGCAUUUAUAGCGAAGCCUAGGAAUAAAUUCAGCACUCAUACUAGGAGAAUCAUGGACCUAGAUGAUGUAGACAAAUGUAGUGUUGUACAUUGAACACUGCAGUUGGCUCUCGCUUCUAUUGAAUAUUGAGACAUUGAUUUUUCUUCACUGAUUCUUAGUUUCCUUUUGUAAUCUUAGACAAAGCAGAGGAUGGGAAGUUGGAAUGAGAGCAAUUUCUAGGGGUAAUUUUUAAUACUUUUCGUGACAAAAAGAAUAAAGGAAAUCAUUUGACAAGGCAAUGUUGUACAUCUUACACACACAAAAAAGAAGAAAUAGAAAGGGAUCUUAAAAUAGUAUUACCUUUGGUCCUUUUUAACGUUCCAUCCCUUAAUUUCAUCUACCUCAGCAAGAGCUUUUCUCCAUGCCUUGACUUCUACGGGAAACUUCUUCUGAUGUUCCCCUAAAGCAGCGCUAUAUUGUGGAGUCUUAAGCUUAACAUCUUCAGGUUCUACAUCGAGAAAAAUGGGAAGGAUACUUUUUUUACCCUCUGAUUGAGACACAUUGUCUAUUAUGUGCGCAAGCUCACGGAGACACCAUUUACUGGAAGCAUAAUUCUGAGAGAAAAUUGAUAUAUAAAUCAUAGAGUUGUUAAUAGCACGUAGAAGGUUCCCUUCAAUCACUUCGCCGACGCUGAGUUCAGUUUCGUCCAUGAAUACGUGGACUCCCGCAUCUACCAAGCCAUGGUAGAGGAAAUCCGUGAACACAUAACGAGUGUCGGAUCCCCUGAAAUUCAGGAACACUUGAUACUCGCCUCCUGAUGUUCGUGCAGCAUCACUACUCGAUCCAGCCUCCGAGUUCGCCAUAGCUAGGAAGCUUGUUACUUCCGGAUCUCUCUCUCCCCUGUAGAGAAAAUAAGUCGAUGUGACGUGGCCUAGCUUAAGAAAUGAGCGGAGGCUUUCGAGGCAAGUGAUAAAAAGGUUGACACCAGUGGGAGACCAGAAAGGGCACCGAUAAAAAAUCCCUUUUCUUUCGCCCUUAAUAAAAACAUCCAAUCCCCAAACUGCCGAGAAAUCUUCAAUCAUGCCUGUAACCUUUUUUGGUUCGAACAGAAAGAGAGAGAGAGAGAGAGAGUAAAAUUUAGGAACUUAAUAGAACGAUCAAUUUUUUAAAAAAUUACGGGGUAAUUAUAAUGUAUAAAAAAUUGUUUUCGAGUUUAAAAAAAAAUAGAAAUCUGGAGAAAAAAACAGUAAUCUAAAAAAUUUGCCAACCUCGGAGCCUACUUCCGGCGUCGCCGCCAGCAGAGUUGUCCGCGCCGCGUCUAGGCUGACACCGCUGCGUGUCCCGGCCGAGCCGCCCCUCCGCGUCCAAGACGGAACGCUUCAGAUCUGUGGACGAGAAGAAGAGGAACGAGCUGUCAUCGCAAGUGACGAGCCGUUCACAGAUCUGAGCGCUCAGAUCGUCGCUAGCAACGGCGGCGGCGGCUUGUUACUCGCGCCGACUUCCGAGGGGUGGGCGCGGAGGUUGGAGCUCAGAUCGGCGGAGGAGAGGCCGUCCGUGGCUGACCACCGCUUUGCGUCUCUAGGUCUGUGGACUAGCAGCUCUAUCGGCCAAGGCACAGCCGCCGGGACGACGGAGGGGUGGGCGCAGCAGUCCGCCGUCGCUCAACAGCCAGACCUGGAUUCUAUUGCCGGGCGAAGUGGUGGGCGAAG